GACGAACGCUGGCGGCGCGCUUAACACAUGCAAGUCGAACGGAAAGGCCUGCUUUCCCUUGUGGAUUGCGGGUACUCGAGUGGCGAACGGGUGAGUAACACGUGAGUGAUCUGCCCCCAACUUGGGUAUAAGCCUGGGAAACUGGGUCUAAUUCCCGAUAGGACUGCAGGGUGGUGCCUGUGGUGGAAAACGAUUUUCUAGUGGUUGGGGAUGAGCUCGCGGCCUAUCAGCUUGUUGGUGGGGUAAUGGCCUACCAAGGCGGCGACGGGUAGCCGGCCUGAGAGGGUGGACGGCCACAUUGGGACUGAGAUACGGCCCAGACUCCUACGGGAGGCAGCAGUGGGGAAUAUUGCACAAUGGGCGGAAGCCUGAUGCAGCGACGCCGCGUGGGGGAUGACGGCCUUCGGGUGGUAAACUCCUUUCGACCGCGAGGAAGCCACCUGGUUGGAAGGGUGGUGACGGUAGUGGUAGAAGAAGCACCGGCUAACUAC
rnacentral:rRNA from 1 species